rnacentral:rRNA from 1 species
UACAGAGGGUGCGAGCGUUAAUCGGAGUUACUGGGCGUAAAGGGCGCGUAGGCGGUUAUUUAAGUUAGCUGUGAAAACCCUGGGCUUAACCUAGGACCUGCAGCUAAUACUGGGUAACUGGAGUAUUGUAGAGGGUAGUGGAAUUUCCGGUGUAGCGGUGAAAUGCGUAGAGAUCGGAAGGAACACCAGUGGCGAAGGCGGCUACCUGGACAAAUACUGACGCUGAGGCGCGAAAGCGUGGGGAGCAAACAGG